GAUGAACGCUGGCGGCGUGCCUAAUACAUGCAAGUCGAGCGAACGGACGAGACGCUUGCUUCUCUGAUGUUAGCGGCGGACGGGUGAGUAACACGUGGAUAACCUACCUAUAAGACUGGGAUAACUUCGGGAAACCGGAGCUAAUACCGGAUGAUAUUUUGAACCGCAUGGUUCAAAAGUGAAAGACGGUCUUGCUGUCUCUUAUAGAUGGAUCCGCGCUGCAUUAGCUAGUUGGUAAGGUAACGGCUUACCAAGGCAACUAUGCAUAGCCGACCUGAGAGGGUGGUCGGCCACACUGGAACGGAGACACGGUCCAGACUCCUACGGGAGGCAGCAGUAGGGAAUCUUCCGCAAUGGGCGAAAGCCUUGCGGAACAACGCCGCGUGAGUGAUGAAGGUCUUCGGAUCGUAAAACUCUGUUAUUAGGGAAGAACAUAUUUGUAAGGAACUGUGCACAGCUUGACGGUACCUAAUCAGAAAGCCACGGCUAACUACGUG
rnacentral:rRNA from 1 species